rnacentral:rRNA from 1 species
GACGAACCGUGCGAACGUUGUUCGGAAUCACCGGGCUUAAAGGGCGCGUAGGCGGCGCAUCAAGUCAGGGGUGAAAUCCUCCAGCUUAACUGGAGAAGUGCCUUUGAUACUGGUGCGCUCGAGGGAGGUAGGGGCAUGUGGAACACAUGGUGGAGCGGUGAAAUGCGUUGAUAUCAUGUGGAACGCCGGUGGCGAAAGCGACGUGCUGGACCUCUUCUGACGCUGAGGCGCGAAAGCUAGGGGGGCAAACGGG